AACUGUCUGUCUGCCAUGGCCUCUUCCAAACGUGAUUCUCUGUGGCCUCCGCAAAAUGCUUCUGUGCCUGAUUCAGUACCAUCACAGGAGUACCGAGCAAAACUUUAUGACAGCACGACUCGUCUGCUUGGAAUGGUGACAACCAUUACAUUUGAGAAGAGUAUGACACAACAAACUUGUUUGCCGAGCUAUCCCUAUUUUGAGGGCAAUGACCAAGGAGGGCCAAUCCAUCCAUCUCCCUCAAUACAAGAUUGCUCUCAAGCAUCCCUUGCAGACCAGCAUUAUCAAUGCAUUUCAGAGUUGGUUCGUCUGCAAAAGGAAAGACAUAAGGCAGAAAUUUUUCUUGCAAAUAUGUACCGAGGAAGACCAAUUCCCACUCCUCAAUCAGAGCUUCCUUUCAGCUUGAACACAUAUAAACUGAUUUCAGCUUUGAAUGAUGAGAAUCAUAAGGUUGGAGAAUUUAUAUGCUACAUCAGGGAACUUCCUGGCAUUGAACUUCCCAAAGACUUCUUUCAUGCAUUUAUGAGCUAUGAAAGAGCUGUUCUUUGUUGCAAAAUACAGUUGCAAAUGGUAGAUUGGCUUUCCAAUUGCCAGAACCUUCACUUUUCAGUGAUUGUGAACACCAAAAACCAAGAAAAGAAGAACUUUGUGUCAUCGAUGAUUUCUGAGCUUCCCACUUCUUCAGCUGUUGAAUGACAUCUUAGUUGGUCAAGACUUGAAGCAGGUGAGUGUUUGCAAUUCUGAUGCAUUCUGCUCCAUCACUUGUCCCAGAAGCUGUUAAUGCAGGCUUCCUCUAAUUAAUUUGCUGGUUUCAAGCAGAUUUAUUUUAGUUGUGGCAUCUCUGUGAAGAACUGUUGUAGAGCAAGUUCAUACAGAGACAUGUAAGUGAGGACGUGUGCACGGAGUGCUCUCUUGUAGUGGCUGCACUUGAGGAUCUGUCUCAUUGUAGCAGGCCCACAUACAUCUGCCUCAAUUCAUGCAACAUCUAUGCCAGAAUUUUCUAUUGAGGCUCCAAGUGCCCUCAGUGUAGCCAUCACAGCAUGCAGCUCCCCAAGUCUCGGAACAACUUCUCUUUUCAAGUUAGGUCUUGCAUCGAGCAAUUGCACUGCCUUCUCUUACAGGACUAUGUCAUAGGUUAUGACAGUUGGGUGGUUUUCACCAACUGCCAAGUUCUUCAACUGAGACGCUUUCAACAUCACAGUCAGCAUGGUAGACCACUCAUGUGCGACCUCUCGAAGUAGAGGCAAGGCACCGACUUGAGUCAGUGACUGACUAGAUGACACAAGUGAUUUGUAGUCUGCCCAACCCGGGAUACUGCUUUGUGAUUCACUGUCGGUUGAUCUCGACAAAGCAGAUACAAUCAUCCAACCAAGAUUGGUUAGUUUAUAGGAUUCAACAACACCUGUGGAACACACCUUGAAUUCCUUUGCUCGCUUGACUGGGCCAGGUUUUGGUUUGCUGCAAGGCUCAAUGGGUACGUGAUAAGGGACAACCGACAGGUUUUUUUGCCUCACUAACUUCCAAAUUGGGUGUGAUUGCUUCUCCAGGCACAUCUGCCUUUUGAUACACUGUGGUGAUUGUGCCAUGUGUGGUGCCUUUGCCAUCUACAGUGUCCUCUGCAAAAUCGGUAUUAUCAACAGCGAAGAAGACAAAUGUACCUUUCUUGAGGAAAGGUGGUACAUACAAUCCAUCAAAUUGUUUUAUGCUUCCCACAACAGCGUUGGCAAUUGCUGUUUCUAGGAGCAAGGCAUGGCUACGUGAUCCGCAGUAGUUCUGUAUAUGGAGGAGGUCCAUCAACGCCCUUGUUCCUGGUGUCAAGAUGUACAGUGAGUGCCAACCCUACAAUCUGUGGGUUUUCUCGUGUGUGUGGUGUCCGAAAUGUGUCAGUGUCUUUCUUGGGCAUGUGGUGCAAUUGUCUCCUGGUUUUGAAAGCAUCCAAAAUAUUGUGACUUAUCUUCAAUGCUGACAUGUCAACUAUCCUGCUCAUCAUCUCUGUUUGCAGCUCCUCCUCAAAUCACGCCAAAAUCUACCAUAUAAGGCUCUACAGCUUGGUUAGGACAUCCUCUCUUGUGCUGCAUACUGUAAUUGUGUUUCCUUCUCCUCAAUGAAAUUGGCAAUGCUGUUGCGUAUUAGCUUAGCUGUCUUGUAUUUCAUCAUUGUGUUGUCCAUUUCACUUAUAUCAUCUUGCAUCAAGGAAGUGUAGACCAUAUCUUCUUCGCAGGAUUCAGGACAGUAAAUAACAGAUGGUUUUCUUCUCUCUUUCUGCCUCACUAACUUCACACUUGGUAACUCUGCAAGAAUUUUGUCCUAUCGCCACUGUCGUGUCAGUGUCAGAGUGUGUUUCUGUGCCUCAUCACGACCACCAAGCAUAGAUAUGUCGG
ensembl:lincRNA